rnacentral:rRNA from 1 species
CCUACGGGGGGCAGCAGUGGGGAAUAUUGCACAAUGGGGGAAACCCUGAUGCAGCAACGCCGCGUGGGUGAAGGAGCGUUUCGGCGCGUAAAGCCCUGUCAGCGGGGAAGAAGAAAGACGGUACUCGAAGAAAAAGCAUCGGCUAACUCCGUGCCAGCAGCCGCGGUAAUACGGAGGAUGCGAGCGUUAUCCGGAUUUAUGGGGUUUAAGGGGUGCGUAGGCGGUCCGGAAAGUCAGCGGUAAAAGUCCGGGGCUCAACCCCGGCGAGCCGUUGAAACUGUCGGACUAGAGACGGCGAGAGGUACGCGGAAUGCGCGGUGUAGCGGUGAAAUGCAUAGAUAUCGCGAAGAACUCCGAUUGCGAAGGCAGCGUACCGGCGCCGAACUGACGCUGAGGCACGAAAGCGUGGGUAUCGAACAGGAUUAGAUACCCUUGUAGUC